rnacentral:lncRNA from 1 species
UUUCUGUUUACUCCCUUUAUUGUAGAACAUCGGCGUAAAUACGAAUGCAAAGAGUCUGGAUGCCUGGCUUUGAAAGUAUUUCAUGGUCAGUGGAAAAAAAUGAGGAAGAGGAGGGUGUGGCUGCUGCCCGGAGAGUCUGGCCAUGCAGAUGGGGCUGCUGGAGGCUAAGCUUUGGGAGAUGCGGUCCUUGAUCUUUACAAAAUGAAGACUUCUUUUAGGUAAAACAGAAAUAUUUUAUCAGAAAUCAAGUGGGCAUAUAAUCUUACUGAUUUUUUUUUUUUUAAUGCAGAUGACAGAUGGUCAGUUGUUCUCACUUAAGGUUGGCGGCUUUAUGUGCAUUUUGUUUUGCCUCAAAUUACUCAGCUCUUUCAUGAAUCAUGACAAAACCCACAAAAAUUAGUUUCAACUUUUUUUUUAGA